GGGGAUUGAGUUUGUGGUAGGUGUUGGGAUUGUUGAUGGUGGUGGGAAUGUUGAGGUUGAUGUUGGUAAUCUUCAUGAUAUUGGGGUUGAGUUUGUGGUAUGUAGUGUUGAUUUGGUUGGGGGGUGGACAUGUGUUGUGGUGGUUGUUGUUGGUAAUACGGUGGUGGUGGUUGUUGUUGAUAAUACGGUGGUGGUGGUUGUUGUUGGUAAUAUGGUGGUGGUUGUUGUUGUUGGUAAUAU
rnacentral:lncRNA from 1 species